rnacentral:rRNA from 1 species
UACGGAGGGUGCAAGCGUUAUCCGGAUUCACUGGGUUUAAAGGGUGCGUAGGUGGGCAGGUAAGUCAGUGGUGAAAUCUUUGGGCUUAACCCGAAAACUGCCAUUGAUACUAUUUGUCUUGAAUAUUGUGGAGGUCAGCGGAAUAUGUCACGUAGCGGUGAAAUGCUUAGAUAUGACAUAGAACACCAAUUGCGAAGGCAGCUGGCUACACAUAUAUUGACACUGAUGCACGAAAGCGUGGGGAUCAAACAGG